GUCAAAUUAACUGAUGUGUAUGUGUACAUAGAGUGAGGUUAAUUUUGGGUUUAUUAUUGUUGAAUAGAUAAGUUUAUUUUGGCAGAGAAGAGAAAACGAGGAUAAACCUUUCUUGCAGAAGAAAAAGACAAGCUAGUGAAAUUGCUGACGUCUCAUAGAGACACAAUAUUAAACAAAAAACGGAUGGGACCACGAACGAAGCCAAAAACAAAGCUUGGAUCCAGUUACAAAUAGUUUUAAUGCGAUAGGAACCGUUUACAGUUUCAGGUGGUGCGAGAAAUUGGAAAGACGUGUAAAAACAUGCUGCGCCCAGCCCACCUCAAAUUGAAUUGGUGCAGGAGGAUGAUGAUAAUGUUUGGUACAUCAUAUGAGGACUAAUAUUAAAAUAUUUGUUUAC